GAUGGUCCUUAAAAAGACCUUUAGACA
rnacentral:tRNA from 1 species